rnacentral:rRNA from 1 species
CGCCUUGCCAGCCCGCUACAGAAACUUAAAGGAAGUUGACGGGGGCCCGGCACAAGCGGUGGAGCAUGUGGUUUAAUUCGAUGAUACGCGAGGAACCUUACCUGGGCUCAAAUGUAUGUUGACGUAUUCUGAAAGGGAUACUUCUUCGGACAAUAUACAAGGUGCUGCAUGGUUGUCGUCAGCUCGUGCCGUGAGGUGUCGGGUUAAGUCCCAUAACGAGCGCAACCCCUAUUGCUAGUUACCAUCAUUAAGUUGGGGACUCUAGCGAGACUGCCAGUGAUAAACUGGAGGAAGGUGGGGAUGACGUCAAAUCAUCAUGCCCCUUAUGACCUGGGCUACAAACGUGAUACAAUGGCUGGAACAAAGGGAUGCGAAGCAGUGAUGUGGAGCGAAACCCAUAAAAACAGUCUCAGUUCGGAUUGAAGUCUGCAACUCGACUUCAUGAAGUCGGAAUCGCUAGUAAUCGCGGAUCAGAACGCCGCGGUGAAUACGUUCUCGGGGUUU